UGACCUUUGUCUGGUGACAAUUCUUGCAAUAUUGCUCAUCGUUAACGUUUUCCUCUUUCUCUUUGUUGUAGUCUCGAGAAGUAGACAGGAAAAAUCCCAAAGCGGUGAAAAAAGCAAAUAUGUAUUAUUUCAUUGAAUCAGCCAUUGCACUGUUCGUGUCAUUAAUCAUCAACAUAGUUGUGGUCGCAGUAUUUGUUAGAGCAUUUUAUAAAAGGACGUAUGGAGAGGUG